ACACAGGUGAGAAACCGUAUGGAUGCUCUGAGUGCGGGAAAAGCUUCAAUCACAGCUCUGCCCUGAACACACACAGGAAAAUCCACACAGAAACACACCUCAUGCUACGACCAAGGCAUCCCCAGCCUUUCUAAUGAUGGGAUGACAGCUGCACACUUGCUUUGAUCUGCUGAAUCUGUCUGAACCCCAACAAAUUGUGGGACGUCAGCAGCAAUAUCAAGUCAUCAGAUGGGCACCCAGAGCAAAAGACCGAACCUUUAGCUCGGGUCAGCCGGUUUUGGCUCGGAAUUAUACUUCUGGAGCUAAAUGGGUCCCCGCCAUGAUCAUUGCUCAAACAGGACCUGUUUCCUACACAGUCCAGACUGCAGAGAAUCUCACCUCAAGUCCUCAAGACACAUCUUCAGUUGAGUUGUCUGACUUCACCUCUUCUGGCGAGACACCAAAUCAAGAAUCACCUGUUCCUGACUGUUCUCCUCCAUUACUGCUGGCAGCUGAGAUACCCCCUUGCCAAGCUGACACCACUUCCUCAUCCGUUCACGCUAUGAACCCUGAGCCCAUUGUCAGGGCCUGCGCCCAAGGUACUUUCGGGUGCAACAACACCAGAAGUUCGCCGUAAUCCACCUAGAGACAAAAGAUCUCCUCAAUAGCUGGAUUUUAGCUAGGGCGAACCCACGGUUAUGGGGCAAAAUAAUCCCCGGGGUUUAGCCGGGAAUGGAGGCAGUCUACCCUCAUUCUCUAGUUUAGUGUUUGUUUUAUUUAGGGGAUGUUCUUAUUAAGGGGGGAGGAAUAUGUUGUGUAUGUGGUUGUCGUGGUAAUAGCACCUUGUUGUUGCUAUGGCAACUGAGUUAGAUUAUUAGGGGAUAGCCCAGCCAGCUUUGGCUGGUUUUGGUUAGUUCAGUGUGUGAAAAUAAAUGGUUGCUUUUUAAGGCUUA